CCUACGGGGGGCAGCAGUGAGGAAUAUUGGUCAAUGGACGUAAGCCUGAACCAGCCAAGUCGCGUGAGGGAUGAAGGUUCUAUGGAUCGUAAACCUCUUUUAUAGGGGAGUAAAGUGUGGGACGUGUCCUUUUUUGUAUGUACCUUAUGAAUAAGGAUCGGCUAACUCCGUGCCAGCAGCCGCGGUAAUACGGAGGAUCCGAGCGUUAUCCGGAUUUAUUGGGUGUAAAGGGUGCGUAGGCGGCCUUUUAAGUCAGCGGUGAAAUGCCGUGGCUCAACCCAGGAAUUGCCGUUGAAACUGGGAGGCUUGAGUGUGGGUGAGGCAGGCGGAAUGCGUGGUGUAGCGGUGAAAUGCUUAGAUAUUAGGCAGAACACCAGUGGCGAAGGCGGCCUGC
rnacentral:rRNA from 1 species